UCUCAACCAGAAUGAACAAGUCUUAGAGAGAGAGAAGCUCUCACCCUUUUUCCACUGGGAAAUCUUUUAAAAGGCACUUUCAAACGAUAAACUUGAUGCAGUAUAAAAUCCCACUUUCAGACCUUCUCCAAACACACUAUAAUGGAGAGAGGGUAGCAAGUGAACGAAUUGAUCGUACCUGGGCUGGAGGGGCCGCUUCCUACCUAUUUGCAGACUGUAUAAUUUCCUGACUUUUCUCUAGUAGGGCAUGAGUUUGGGGAGUAAACGAAAUCGUGCUCCUGCCUAGAAAAUCGGGGAGGUAUUGUAUAGUUUCAGUGCGGUAUCAAGUUGCGCAAUGUUACAGAUACUCAGGUUGCAUAUUACCUGAUAGAGGAACAACGGGGAUGUACAAGAGCACCAGAUGGCUACGUUUCUUUUGUUGGCCUCCUUGCAGAUCCAUGGUAUUUUGCAUGUCCGCACAAGGGGAGGAGGAUGAAGAUUCGAACUAGUGACCUUUGCUUAAUGAGAUUAUCUCACUAUGGAGGAGAAUGCUCAUGAAGAAGAAGAUUUUAUCAGUGAAAAUGGAACGUGUUAUUGGUAGAGAAGGGGCAUGAGUAUCCAUCUUGUCAACUAAAAAACUCUUACAGGUCUCUCCCUCCAUCUACUGGGUUAUGACACAGCAUGCGCCAGGCAAGGUUUUCAUAAUUGGACCGGUUCUGCAGGUAAGAAGGGCUGAAGCCCCAUUAUAAGAAAAUGUGGAUGGGGCCUUUUGUGCAUGAUUUUGACAGAAUUAUGAACAUGGAAAAUCUUUUCUUGCUGUACAAAAACGAUGGUUCGCCAAUUCAUUUGACCCAUCAACUCGAAUCUAAUCCCAUUGCUAAACAAAUCAGGUUACAAGUCCGAACUCAAUGAAAAAUGCUACACUUUUCAAAACAAUAUUUCAAAAUUUGCACUCCAAAUGAUGUCUCACAGUUUUACGAGAUGGUGACACAUUUUUCAAAAUAAUAUAUUAUAUGGGAUAGGAUUGUAACACAUGAUUUAGAGAGCAAGUUUUUAGAAACUUUUUUUUUUUAAAAAAAAAGAAAUGUAACCUUCCUCGAACCCAGAAGGGAAUCGACAGUAUCCGAUGCUAGUUUUGUCUGCACUAUAACUCUAGUGAUGUGGUCACGUGGGUCUGCUGCCUGGUGCACGUGCGGGUC